AAUAAGUUUGUUUUCUAGUUUUUGGAUACGGUGUUUGACUCUUUGUCUUAUUUGAUUUUUUUUUGUGAUUGAUAUUUUUAUUGUUAUUAUAUGAUAAAACAUGAAUAAUACUUUAGGUGUGACUAUUUUUGAGUUUUUUUAUAUUUUUUUAAAUAAGACAGAUGGUCAAACGCUAGUCACAUAAACCAAAAAAUGAAGUUUUU
rnacentral:pre_miRNA from 1 species